rnacentral:rRNA from 1 species
GUGAUGGACUGCCUUUUGCAUAAUGAGCCUGCGAGUUGUGGUGUCUGGCAAGGUUAAGCAAACGCGAAGCCGUAGCGAAAGCGAGUCUGAAUAGGGCGCUUAGUCAGAUGCUGCAGACCCGAAACGAAGUGAUCUAUCCAUGAGCAAGUUGAAGCUAGUGUAAGAACUAGUGGAGGACUGAACCCAUAGGCGUUGAAAAGCCCCGGGAUGACUUGUGGAUAGGGGUGAAAGGCCAAUCAAACUUCGUGAUAGCUGGUUCUCUCCGAAAUAUAUUUAGGUAUAGCGUUGUGUCGUAAUAUAAGGGGGUAGAGCACUGAAUGGGCUAGGGCAUACACCAAUGUACCAAACCCUAUCAAACUCCGAAUACCUUAUAUGUAAUCACAGCAGUCAGGCGGCGAGUGAUAAAAUCCGUCGUCAAGAGGGAAACAACCCAGACUACCAGCUAAGGUCCCUAAAUCUUACUUAAGUGGAAAACGAUGUGAAGUUACUUAAACAACCAGGAGGUUGGCUUAGAAGCAGCCAUCCUUUAAAGAAAGCGUAAUAGCUCACUGGUCUAGUGAUUUUGCGCGGAAAAUAUAACGGGGCUAAAGUAAGUACCGAAGCUGUAGACUUGCGCACAACUUAGAUUAUUUAAGUUUAGAAUAUGAGAAACUAAGUUAUAUGUUUAGUUAUAUUUUUACUGAUUUUUAUAGAGUAAAGAUAGAAAUAAAACUUAGUAAAAUCAGUAAAAAUAUUCUUAGACUAAAGUUAAGUAGUUUAAGUUGUGUGCAAGUGGUAGGAGAGCGUUCUAUUUGCGUCGAAGGUAUACCGGUAAGGAGUGCUGGAGCGAAUAGAAGUGAGCAUGCAGGCAUGAGUAGCGAUAAUUAAUGUGAGAAUCAUUAACGCCGUAAACCCAAGGUUUCCUACGCGAUGCUCGUCAUCGUAGGGUUAGUCGGGUCCUAAGUCGAGUCCGAAAGGGGUAGACGAUGGCAAAUUGGUUAAUAUUCCAAUACCAACAUUAGUGUGCGAUGGAAGGACGCUUAGGGCUAAGGGGGCUAGCGGAUGGAAGUGCUAGUCUAAGGUCGUAGGAGGUUAUACAGGCAAAUCCGUAUAACAAUACUCCGAGAACUGAAAGGCUUUUUGAAGUCUUCGGAUGGAUAGAAGAACCCCUGAUGCCGUCGAGCCAAGAAAAGUUUCUAAGUUUAGCUAAUGUUGCCCGUACCGUAAACCGACACAGGUGGGUGGGAUGAGUAUUCUAAGGCGCGUGGAAGAACUCUCUUUAAGGAACUCUGCAAAAUAGCACCGUAUCUUCGGUAUAAGGUGUGGUUCGCUUCGUAUUAGGAUUUACUCCGAAAGCGAAGAAACUUACAACAAAGAGUCCCUCCCGACUGUUUACCAAAAACACAGCACUCUGCUAACUCGUAAGAGGAUGUAUAGGGUGUGACGCCUGCCCGGUGCUCGAAGGUUAAUUGAUGGGGUUAGCAUUAGCGAAGCUCUUGAUCGAAGCCCGAGUAAACGGCGGCCGUAACUAUAACGGUCCUAAGGUAGCGAAAUUCCUUGUCGGUUAAAUACCGACCUGCAUGAAUGGCGUAACGAGAUGGGAGCUGUCUCAAAGAGGGAUCCAGUGAAAUUGUAGUGGAGGUGAAAAUUCCUCCUACCCGCGGCAAGACGGAGAGACCCCGUGGACCUUUACUACAGCUUGACACUGCUAUUUGGAUAAGAAUGUGCAGGAUAGGUGGGAGGCUUUGAGUAUAUGACGCCAGUUGUAUAUGAGCCAUUGUUGAGAUACCACUCUUUCUUAUUUGGGUAGCUAACCAGCUUGAGUUAUCCUCAAGUGGGACAAUGUCUGGUGGGUAGUUUGACUGGGGCGGUCGCCUCCCAAAUAAUAACGGAGGCUUACAAAGGUUGGCUCAGAACGGUUGGAAAUCGUUCGUAGAGUAUAAAGGUAUAAGCCAGCUUAACUGCAAGACAUACAAGUCAAGCAGAGACGAAAGUCGGUCUUAGUGAUCCGGUGGUUCUGUGUGGAAGGGCCAUCGCUCAAAGGAUAAAAGGUACCCCGGGGAUAACAGGCUGAUCUCCCCCAAGAGCUCACAUCGACGGGGAGGUUUGGCACCUCGAUGUCGGCUCAUCGCAUCCUGGGGCUGGAGCAGGUCCCAAGGGUAUGGCUGUUCGCCAUUUAAAGCGGUACGCGAGCUGGGUUCAGAACGUCGUGAGACAGUUCGGUCCCUAUCUGCCGUGGGCGUAAGAAGAUUGAAGAGAUUUGACCCUAGUACGAGAGGACCGGGUUGAACAAACCACUGGUGUAGCUGUUGUUCUGCCAAGAGCAUCGCAGCGUAGCUAAGUUUGGAAAGGAUAAACGCUGAAAGCAUCUAAGCGUGAAGCCAACUCUAAGAUGAAUCUUCUCUAAGCUCUCUAGAAGACUACUAGUUUGAUAGGCUGGGUGUGUAAUGGAUGAAAGUCCUUUAGCUGACCAGUACUAAUAGAGCGUUUGGCUUAUCUUUAAUAAAGCAU